AACUUUCAACAACGGAUCUCUUGGUUCUGGCAUCGAUGAAGAACGCAGCGAAAUGCGAUAAGUAGUGUGAAUUGCAGAAUUCAGUGAAUCAUYGAAUCUUUGAACGCACAUUGCGCCCUUUGGUAUUCCAAAGGGCAUGCCUGUUCGAGCGUCAUUU
rnacentral:rRNA from 1 species